UACGGAGGGGGCUAGCGUUGUUCGGAAUUACUGGGCGUAAAGCGCACGUAGGCGGCUUUGUAAGUUAGAGGUGAAAGCCCGGAGCUCAACUCCGGAACUGCCUUUAAGACUACAUCGCUAGAACGUUGGAGAGGUAAGUGGAAUUCCGAGUGUAGAGGUGAAAUUCGUAGAUAUUCGGAAGAACACCAGUGGCGAAGGCGACUUACUGGACAACUGUUGACGCUGAGGUGCGAAAGCGUGGGGAGCAAACAGG
rnacentral:rRNA from 1 species